rnacentral:lncRNA from 1 species
UAAUCACAAGGGAUAAAGUUGUCAUUGGUUAUGCAAUCUAAAACUGCUCUUUUUGUUUCCUUUCAGUCACUGUGGAAGUGGAGCACAAAGCAGUCACUUUGGUUUCUUCAUCAGCAUUUUGAAAUGCCUGAUUGAACUGAAGAGAUAUGGGACACUGACUUUUAUCUACGUGCUAACAGACAUGGCUGUGCUGUGCAGCAAAAGUUCUUCAAAGGGGAUUGUGACAGCACUGGCCAGCACCAACCCAAAUACUGCAGAUGGAGUGACGUAGAGUCCUGGUGAGAAAGGAGGGAAGAGCACCCAGAUGUCCACAGCCAGCAAUCCUGGCUCUUGAGAUUACAGCUGAUGCAUCAGGGCAUCCAAGGAAGACUGGUGAAUUAGAGGAAGAUCAGAAAUUUUUGAAAGUUUUGAUCUUGGUUAUCAUUUACAUAGCAGAGGUGAAAACAACAACAACAAAAGGACAAGAGCAGCAAGAUUUAACUGAAAUUGAUCCCAAAGACAAGUCAUAAAGAAAAGGAAGGUGAAUUGCUGAGAAUAGAUGGUGAGGCACUGUAGCAGUGAGCCUUUCACAAAGAAUGUGAGAGAUGCUAAUCAAUACAGCCUUUCUGACAAAAACUUUUUGAAAAAUGGCUUGUGUGAUCUUCUGGUCUGUGAUGCUCAGAUUGGUUGGUGUGAUCAUAUAUGCCAGCAUGCCGUUAGUCCAUAUGGAGCAGCUAUCAUGGUUACAGCUAGAUGGUAUUUAGAAAGAAUUUAAAGUAAAUCUUUUACUUCCCCUGGAAUUACUGAAGAAGCGUUAAAUUACUUUUCAAGAAAUUCAAUGUGGGUAGGUUGUUUCAUUUUUCUGAAUGUGUGGGGCUGUUUCUGCUUGGAAUGCAGCAUCUCUUUUAAGCUAACAUAUUCAAUUU